UUUAUCACGCGCGUGCAAAACGCAUUGCACCCGCGCGAUAAAAACUGAACAACGGAACGCAAUCGCAGUCAAACUACCUACUCGGCGGGUUUGCUGCAACGCAUCCGGACCUUAUCCGGACACGCUCGUGUGAAAGAGGCCUAAAUGUGAUGUGUUCUCCAAAGUCCAUUAAGCAGCCUAUCUGCACUUGUAUGUUCCUGGACGAGUUCCUCGUUGGGGUGCACCCUAAGAAUUGGGCAAUACUAUUUGUAAUCCACUGGUAAAUGUCUGUCUCUUUAAAUCAGACUUCCCUAUUUGUAAUCCACAGGUAAAUGAUGUCUGUCCCUUUGAUUGCAGCUGUAAUCCUUACUCCAGCUCCCAGUAUAUAACACCCUAUAAGCAGCCAAUGAGAUAGGAAGGCGUCAGCGUAUGAGUCCCUCAGGGCUUUGCAUUAACUCGCAGCCCAUACACCGCAAUGCAACUGUACUUGGAGCAUUAUUGUCUGUCCAAAUGCCACUUCCUUGAGCAGGUUCUUGGUGCUUUCUUUUAUUUCCUGGUCCACUCCAGAACUGGAUCCUACAGACAUGACACUCCUGGGGUCGUCGCUGCAAACCUCCCCUUCGUGCUGACGUCUCCACUGUGAGCCGGUCCAUUCCCUUCCAGAAUCUGCAGAGAAGAUUUCUUCUGGUCUCCAGCAGCACCAAGCACGGGCUCCGUCUGCUCACUUCCUGCUCCUCCAGGCCCCUCCCCCGCUUCAUAGGCAAGUGUGAUGCAAUAAGUCAAGUGCAGUGUCAAACCUGCCUAUACAGUCUACUAUCACACUUGUAGGGGUCAAAAACAGCCCAUAAAUUAGCUAAUCACCAACUUGCAAACAAAACAGGUUAUUAAUAUCACUCUUAUAGGCAGCUCCAUAUAGACUUUUAGCAUGUUAUUCUUUGCUGCCAUCUACUGACCAAAGUGAGACAUUGCAGUAAUUAUACAAUUUACACAUGCAGAGUAAUACAUUUUCGGUCCCUUGCCCCACAUCCUUACAUAGAUGCCAGAGGCUACAACCUGUUCUACAUGUGAGAUUAUGGUAGAUGCUGAAGGCUGCAGACCGUUCUACAUGUGACAUUGUGGUAGAUGCUGGAGGCUACAGCCCCUUCAACACGUGACAAUGUGGUACAUGCCGGAGGCUAUAACCCAUUCUACAUAUGAGAAUGUGGUAGAUGCCGGAGGCUAUAACCCAUUCUACAUGUGAGAAUGUGGUAGAUGCCUGAGGCUAUAACCCAUUCUACAUAUGAAAAUGUAGUAGAUGCCGGAGGCUAUAACCCAUUCUACAUGUGAGCAUGUGGUAGAUGCCGGAGGCUAUAACCCAUUCUACAUGCGAGAAUGUGGUAGAUGACAGAGGCUACAACCCGUUCCACAUAUGACAAUGUGGUAGAUGAUGGAGGCUAUAACUCGUUCUACAUGUGAGAAUGUGGUAGAUGCCGGAGGCUAUAACUCGUUCUACAUAUGAUAAUGUGGUAGAUGCCGGAGGCUAUAACCCGUUCUACAUGUGAGCAUGUGGUGGAUGCCGGAGGCUAUAACCCGUUCUACAUGUGAGAACGUGGUAGAUGCCGGAAGCUAUAACCCGUUCUACAUAUGAGAAUGUGGUAGAUGCCGGAGGCUAUAACUCAUUCUACAUAUGAGAAUGUGGUAGAUGCCGGAGGCUAUAACCCGUUCUACAUAUGAGCAUGUGGUAGAUGCCGGAGGCUAUAACCCAUUAUACAUGUGAGAAUGUGGUAGAUGCCGGAGGCUAUAACCCAUUCUACAUAUAAUAUUGUGGUAGAUGCCAGAGGCUAUAACCCGUUCUACAUGUGAGAAUGUGGUAGAUGCCGAAGGCUACAACCCGUUCUACAUGUGAGAAUGUGGUAGAUGCCGGAGGCUACAACCCGUUCUACAUAUGAUAAUGUGGUAGAUGCCGGAGGCUACAACCCGUUCUACAUAUGAUAAUGUGGUAGAUGCCGGGGGCUACAACCCGUUCUACAUAUGAUAAUGUGGUAGAUGCCGGAGGCUACAACCCGUUCUACAUAUGAUAAUGUGGUAGAUGCCGAAGGCUAUAACCCGUUCUACAUGUGAGAAUGUGGUAGAUGCCGGAGGCUAUAACCCGUUCUACAUAUGAUAAUGUGGUAGAUGCCGAAGGCUAUAACCCGUUCUACAUGUGAGAAUGUGGUAGAUGCCGGAGGCUAUAACCCGUUCUACAUGUGAGAAUGUGGUAGAUGCCUGAGGCUAUAACCCAUUCUAAAAGUGAGAAUGUGGUAGAUGCCGGAGGCUACAACCCAUUCUACAUAUGAUAAUGUGGUAGAUGCCGAAAGCUAUAACUCGUUCUACAUGUGAGAAUGUGGUAGAUGCCGGGGGCUACAACCCGUUCUACAUAUGAUAAUGUGGUAGAUACUGAAGGCUAUAACUCGUUCUAUAUGUGAGAAUGUGGUAGAUGCCGGAGGCUACAACCCGUUCUACAUAUGAUAAUGUGGUAGAUGCCGAAAGCUAUAACUCGUUCUACAUGCGAGAAUGCGGUAGAUGCCGGAGGCUAUAACCCCUUCUACAUGUGAGAAUGUGGUAGAUGCCGGAGGCUAUAACCCGUUCUACAUGUGAGAAUGUGGUAGAUGCCUGAGGCUAUAACCCCUUCUACAUGUGAGAAUGUGGUAGAUGCCGGAGGCUAUAACCCGUUCUACAUGUGAGAAUGUGGUAGAUGCCUGAGGCUAUAACCCAUUCUAAAAGUGAGAAUGUGGUAGAUGCCGGGGGCUACAACCCGUUCUACAUAUGAUAAUGUGGUAGAUGCCGAAAGCUAUAACUCGUUCUACAUGUGAGAAUGUGGUAGAUGCCGGAGGCUAUAACUCGUUCUACAUGUGAGAAUGUGGUAGAUGCCGAAGGUUACAACCCAUUCUACAUAUGAUAAUGUGGUAGAUGCCGAAGGCUAUAACUCGUUCUACAUGUGAGAAUGUGGUAGAUGCCGGAGGUUACAACCCGUUCUACAUAUGAUAAUGUGGUAGAUGCCGAAGCCUAUAACUCGUUCUACAUGUGAGAAUGUGGUAGAUGCCGGAGGCUACAACCCGUUCUACAUAUGAUAAUGUGGUAGAUGCUGAAGGCUAUAACUCGUUCUACAUGUGAGAAUGUGGUAGAUGCCGGAGGCUACAACCCGUUCUACAUAUGAUAAUGUGGUAGAUGCCGAAGGCUAUAACCCGUUCUACAUGUGAGAAUGUGGUAGAUGCCGGAGGCUAUAACCCGUUCUACAUAUGAUAAUGUGGUAGAUGCCAAAGCCUAUAACUCGUUCUACAUGUGAGAAUGUGGUAGAUGCCGGGGGCUACAACCCGUUCUACAUAUGAUAAUGUGGUAGAUGCCGAAGGCUAUAACUCGUUCUACAUGUGAGAAUGUGGUAGAUGCUGGAGGCUACAACCCGUUCUUCAUAUGAUAAUGUGGUAGAUUCCGGAGGCUACAACCCGUUCUACAUAUGAUAAUGUGGUAGAUGCUGAAGGCUAUAACUCGUUCUACAUGUGAGAAUGUGGUAGAUGCCGGAGGCUAUAACCCGUUCUACAUAUGAGAAUGUGGUAGAUGCCGGAGGCUAUAACCCGUUCUACAUGUGAGAAUGUGGUAGAUGCCGGAGGCUAUAACCCAUUCUACAUGUGAGAAUGUGGUAGAUGCCGGAGGCUACAACCCGUUCUACAUAUGAUAAUGUGGUAGAUGCCGAAGUCUAUAACCCGUUCUACAUGUGAGAAUGUGGUAGAUGCCGGAGGCUAUAACCCGUUCUACAUGUGAGAAUGUGGUAGAUGCCGGAGGCUAUAACCCGUUCUACAUAUGAUAAUGUGGUAGAUGCCGAAGUCUAUAACCCGUUCUACAUGUGAGAAUGUAGUAGAUGCCGGAGGCUAUAACCCGUUCUACAUGUGAGAAUGUGGUAGAUGCCGGAGGCUAUAACCCAUUCUACAUGUGAGAAUGUGGUAGAUGCCGGGGGCUACAACCCGUUCUACAUAUGAUAAUGUGGUAGAUGCCGAAGGCUAUAACUCGUUCUACAUGUGAGAAUGUGGUAGAUGCCGAAAGCUAUAACUCGUUCUACAUGUGAGAAUGUGGUAGAUGCCGGAGGUUACAACCCAUUCUACAUAUGAUAAUGUGGUAGAUGCCGAAGGCUAUAACCCGUUCUACAUGUGAGAAUGUGGUAGAUGCCGGAGGUUACAACCCGUUCUACAUGUGAGAAUUUGGUAGAUGCCGGAGGCUGCAGCCCGUUCUACAUGUGAGAAUGUGGUAGAUGCCGGAGGUUACAACCCGUUCUACAUAUGAUAAUGUGGUAGAUGCCGAAGGCUAUAACCCGUUCUACAUGUGAGAAUGUGGUAGAUGCCGGAGGUUACAACCCGUUCUACAUAUGAUAAUGUGGUAGAUGCCGGAGGCUAUAACCCGUUCUACAUGUGAGAAUGUGGUACAAUGUUUUCCACUUGCAUCAAACUUCAUUGAUCUUCUAUCUCCUGCACUUGCACUCCCCCGAUUCUUUGUGUUCUUUACUUCUUUCCUCUCAGCUUCCAGGGAUGAUGUGUCUUCUAGAUUAGACCUCUCACUCUCUGGAGUGGACCUCUCACUGGACAGACAGCUCAGCUGCCAUCUCCAGACCCACUGGCUGAUGCGAUCAGGCUACACAUGACUCGGAGGGGGCAGGGCCAGACUCCUCCUACUGGGCACAGCUUGUGGAAGCACACUGAUGGCACAGGGAAGUACAUUAACCCUUUAAACAACAAAUUAACCCUUGGCAGUGAUCUCCUGGGUCACAUAACAUGUCUCAGACAGGUGGGGGCCUUGUGGGUGGGUGCAGUGGUUUUCAUGACACAGGACACCUAAUGUGUACUGGAUCAUGUUUAUUGCACAGGUUUCCAUACAUUUUGGCUUAAUACACAGCUGCUAUACAUUGUACAUCCCACAAUAUUAACCCCGUAAUCACCAGCAUCCAAUGAGCAGUAGGGGAGGGUAGAGGACUCCCAGUCUACUGCGCAGCAUCUAUUCGGCACCAGUCUCUCGAGAGGAGACCGUGUAACCUCGACUUCGGAAAUGAGGUUUCUGAGCUGACUGGUGUCACAGCAUGGGCGGUCCCUGUUGUGUCUCAUGAGAAUGAUAUGACCAGGGUGGUCCCUGCUGUGUCACAUGACAGUGAUAUGACAUGGGCAGUCCCUGUUGUGUCACAUGAGAAUGAUAUGAAAUCGGCGGUCCCUGCUGUGUCACAUGACAUGGACGGUCCUUAAUGUGUCACAUGACAUGGACGGUCCUUAAUGUGUCACAUGACAUGGACCGUCCUUAAUGUGU